rnacentral:rRNA from 1 species
GUGGGGAAUUUUGGACAAUGGGCGCAAGCCUGAUCCAGCAAUGCCGCGUGCAGGAAGAAGGCCUUCGGGUUGUAAACUGCUUUUGUACGGAACGAAAAGGCUCUGGUUAAUACCUGGGGCUCAUGACGGUACCGUAAGAAUAAGCACCGGCUAACUACGUGCCAGCAGCCGCGGUAAUACGUAGGGUGCAAGCGUGAAUCGGAAUUACUGGGCGUAAAGCGUGCGCAGGCGGUUUUGUAAGACAGACGUGAAAUCCCCGGGCUCAACCUGGGAAGGGUGUUUGUGACUGCAAAGCUGGAGUGCGGAAGAGGGGGAUGGAAUUCCGCGUGUAGCAGUGAAAUGCGUAGAUAUGCGGAGGAACACCGAUGGCGAAGGCAAUCCCCUGGGCCUGCACUGACGCUCAUGCACGAAAGCGUGGGGAGCAAACAGGAUUAGAUACCCGGGUAGUCC